AACUUCCCUAGUUGCAUCACAUGCUUCUUGUCUCUCCACCGCAACACCCUCAACUCCUACUCCAUUCUACGGGUACCCCCAUUCUACUACUCGAUUUUUUUUUUCCUAAAACAGGGCAAUCCCCAAUUUCAAAAUCAACCCACUUUCUUCAAUCCAUUUUUUCAUUUAAAAUCUCAUUAAUGUGAAGAAAAAACGCUAACAAUCUGCUCUCAUUAUCAUCAAUGGCAAUUCACACUUAUUUUUCACUAAUACCAUGUUCUUUCUCUUCUCCCAAAUUGCCAUUUCCCAAAAACAGCAACAUUUAUCAAUCUCCAAUGCGAACAUUAUCUAAACCCACUAUUAGAGUACAGUUUCAGAAUCGCGCGGUUCCUUGUGUAGGCGAGGAUUUACCGAUUGAUUAUGCUGAUUGGUUGCCGAAAAGGGAACCGAGUGAUCGUAGAAGAGCUGGAGUAUUGCUUCAUCCGACGUCGUUUCCUGGACCUUAUGGUAUUGGUGAUCUUGGUCCUCAGGCUUUUCGGUUUCUUGAUUGGCUUCAUCUUGCUGGUUGCUCCCUUUGGCAGGUUCUUCCCCUUGUACCGCCUGGAAAGAGAGGCAAUGAAGAUGGAUCACCAUAUUCAGGCCAGGAUGCGAAUUGUGGUAACACUCUUUUUAUUUCUCUUGAAGAACUUGUUGAUGAUGGUUUACUGAAGAAGGAGGAGCUUCCGAAGCCACUACCUACGGAACGUGUCAAUUACUCGACUAUUGCUGAGAUAAAAGAUCCUUUAAUAACCAAGGCAGCAAAGAGGCUUCUGUCUAGUGAAGGGGAACUGAAAGACCAGCUCGAGAACUUUCGCCGGGAUCCAAAUAUUUCGAGUUGGCUGGAGGAUGCUGCUUAUUUUGCUGCCAUAGACAACUCUUUAAACACUAUUAGCUGGUGCGAUUGGCCUGAACCAUUGAAAAAUCGCCAUCUUGUAGCUCUAGAAGAAGUUUAUCAAAAUGAAAAGGAUUUUAUUGACAUAUUCAUUGCACAACAGUUCUUAUUCCAAAGACAAUGGAAAAAAGUUCGUGACUAUGCACAAUCCAAAGGAAUCAGUAUAAUGGGAGACAUGCCAAUAUAUGUUGGAUAUCAUAGUGCUGAUGUUUGGGCCAACAAGAAACAGUUUUUGCUGAAUAGGAAAGGUUUCCCUCUUAUGGUUAGUGGUGUUCCUCCAGAUGCCUUUAGUGAAACUGGUCAACUGUGGGGCAGCCCUCUGUAUGAUUGGAAAGCCAUGGAGAAGGAUGGAUUUUCAUGGUGGGUACGCAGGAUUCGACGUGCAACGGAACUUUUUGAUGAAUUUAGGAUAGAUCACUUCAGAGGAUUUGCUGGAUUUUGGGCUAUUCCUUCUGAGGCAAAAGUCGCAAUGCUGGGACGGUGGAAGGUGGGGCCUGGAAAACCUUUGUUUGAUGCUAUCUUCCAGGCUGUUGGGAAGAUCAAUAUUAUAGCAGAAGACUUGGGAGUAAUCACCAAGGAUGUUGUUCAGCUUAGAAAGUCCAUCGAAGCACCUGGGAUGGCCGUACUCCAGUUUGCAUUUGGCAGUGAGGCAGAAAACCCUCAUUUACCUCACAAUCAUGAGCAGAACCAAGUAGUGUAUACUGGAACACAUGACAAUGAUACAAUUCGAGGCUGGUGGGAUGUCUUGCCACAGGAAGAGAAAUCCAAUGUAUUAAAGUAUUUAUCAAACAUUGAGGAAGAGGAAAUAUCGUGGGGCCUGAUCGAAGGUGCAGUUUCUUCUGUAGCCCGUCUUGCAAUUAUACCAAUGCAGGAUGUACUUGGUCUUGGGAGUGAUUCCAGAAUGAACAUUCCAGCAACUCAGUUUGGAAACUGGAGUUGGAGGAUACCUACUUCAACCAGCUUUGACAGCCUGGAUGCAGAAGCAAAGAAGCUAAGAGAUAUACUUGCAACUUAUGGGCGGUUGUGAUGAUUAAUGGUGUUUAAGAUGUAAGGUGCCUGGAAAUCAGGGACACAGCCUGGGCUAUACAGGUUGCAGGUUCAAGACAUUGUCAGGCUUGGGACACAAAUUACAGUGGGUAUAAGCAAUCGAACAAGGCUCUUCUACCACAAUUCACCGGAUUGCUGCAAAGGAACACCUGCGUUUACAUUUUUCUGAUCUUUAGGCUCCCUAGGAAGCAGAUAAAGAAAGCUAAAACGCUUGCUAUGAAUUCUAUUAUUCUAUAUUAGCCGGUAUAAACUAGAGAUGGUAGAGCCUCUCCAUAUUUAUGCAGAAGACUUAAAAAGUUUGAACGUCAACUGAUCUAAAAACAAUUAACACAUGUUUCUGUCUUCACUAUCUGGUCGAAAAUAACACGAAAUUCCUUCGUCUUCCAGCAA